GCUAAUCCUCUCCUCCUCAUCUCUGAUGAGCUUCAAGCCAAGAAAGAUGAAAGAAGCCUGGACUGGGGGGAAAAAAGUGUUUUUACAGUGCAGUGUAAGAGAUGCAAAAGUCUUUUUGGAACUUAGAAAAUUGCAGUAAAACAUUUUGCUGUAUUCAGAAAAAGGAUUUUGUUGAUUUCAAAGAAUACUGAUCUCACUCCUUCUACUACCAUGUAAAGCUUUGAAUUUUUAAAAUUCACACACACACACACACACACACACACACACACACACACACACUGUGAUCCAUUUCCUGUCUGUGGCUGUCACAAUAAAUUUCCUCACCAUCCAUGCCAGGUCUGAUGGUAAGAGACUCUCCCCAUGGUUACAUGGACGCCUGAUAGAGCAGAUACACAUGUCUUUCAUGGUAAGUACACAGACUCUUCAUAGACCCAAAGAAAAUAUUUCCCUUGAUUUAGGCAAAUAAAGUAGAGAAGGAAAGAGGUAACAAACUAUUGCUUGGUUUUGAUAAUGGUUUAUCAUUUCAGCUCUUCAUAAUUGGAAUCUGCCAGAUAUUCUCCAUCCUUUCCUCUAGGACUGAUGUUGCUGAUGGACCAGGGCAGGUAUUUUUGGCAAGUGUAUGGUCCACUCAUCAUAAGCUGUCAGUUGAGUUCUCUGAGGACUCCCAGAUCACCUAUCCCAGCUCACCUUCUUCCAAAUUUUUUUUUUCUUGCAAGGAGACACUAGGUCUUGGUGAGCUUUGGGGAUUAAGGGUGUGGGGUUCUUCAUGUGGGUGAAAUGCUGGUAAAUCUGCCUUCUCCUACUAAUCCAUUAAGUCUAGACGUUUUCCCUGUAAGAGAGGGAGCAAUCCUGUCUGGUGCUCUACACUUUCACCCUGGGCUUUGUGUGGGUGUCCUUAGUCGAGCAAAGUCAGUCUAUUCAACAGGUUAGAGAACAGCCUAUGAUAGGACUGAAGAAGGCAGGGACGCCACCCUGACUGGAUUUUAGGAUAGAAGGCACAGCUUAUUCUUCCUGGAGGAGGUGUGACGUAUCUCAGGCUGAUGAAGUGGAGUUGCCAUGUGGGUUUGGCAUAGUCCUCCAAAAGGGUCUUGGGCACAGGAGUCAGACCAGGGGAAAGCUAACCUUGAAGCUUUGAGUUGCGCAGGUGUAAUAACAGCACUUAAACUGGGGACUUCUCUGGUGGUCCGGAGGUUAAGAUACCCUGCUCUCAGUGCAGAGGCGGUGGGUUCAAUCUCUGGUCAGGAAAUUAAGGACCCCACAUGCAGUACAGCCAAAAAAAAAAAAAAAGGCAUUUAAACUGAAGGGAGAUCCUGAGAGUCAAUGCUAGAGUGUUUGCAAGUCCCUUUCAACUUAGACUUCAAUUGUCCUUGAUUCUUGACUUUCAGCUCUAUACAUUCCCUCGCUAAGGAGUCCUAUCCUUUCUGAUCACCAAGAU